rnacentral:rRNA from 1 species
CGGGAGGCAGCAGUAGGGAAUCUUCCGCAAUGGACGAAAGUCUGACGGAGCAACGCCGCGUGAGUGAUGAAGGCUUUCGGGUCGUAAAACUCUGUUGUUAGGGAAGAACAAGUGCUAGUUGAAUAAGCUGGCACCUUGACGGUACCUAACCAGAAAGCCACGGCUAACUACGUGCCAGCAGCCGCGGUAAUACGUAGGUGGCAAGCGUUAUCCGGAAUUAUUGGGCGUAAAGCGCGCGCAGGUGGUUUCUUAAGUCUGAUGUGAAAGCCCACGGCUCAACCGUGGAGGGUCAUUGGAAACUGGGAGACUUGAGUGCAGAAGAGGAAAGUGGAAUUCCAUGUGUAGCGGUGAAAUGCGUAGAGAUAUGGAGGAACACCAGUGGCGAAGGCGACUUUCUGGUCUGUAACUGACACUGAGGCGCGAAAGCGUGGGGAGCAAACAGGAUUAGAUACCCUGGUAGUCCACGCCGUAAACGAUGAGUGCUAAGUGUUAGAGGGUUUCCGCCCUUUAGUGCUGAAGUUAACGCAUUAAGCACUCCGCCUGGGGAGUACGGCCGCAAGGCUGAAACUCAAAGGAAUUG